rnacentral:rRNA from 1 species
AGGGCAUACGGCGGAUGCCUAGGCGUUUCGAAACGAAGAAGGACGCGAUAAGCUGCGAUAAGCCAUGACGAGCUGCAAGUAAGCAAUGACUCAUGGAUUUCCGAAUGGGGCAACCCGGCAAGAGUAACGUCUUGUCACCCUGUACUAGAUACAGGGAGAAAACACCCGAUGAACUGAAACAUCUAAGUAGUCGGAGGAAAAGAAAUCAAAGAGAUUCCCUGAGUAGCGGCGAGCGAAACGGGAGGAGCCCAAACCUGAGGACUUCGGUUCUUGGGGGUUGCGGACCUGCAACAAGACAUAAGCUUUAGUGGAAGCAUCUGGGAAGGUGCGGCGAAGAGAGUGAGACCCUCGUACACGAAAGAGCAAGUGUUGGGCAGGGAUCCAGAGUACCACAGGGCACGAGGAACCCGGUGGGAAGCAGGGUGGACCACCAUCCAAGGCUAAAUACAUCGAAACGACCGAUAGCGAUGAGUACCGUGAGGGAAAGGUGAAAAGAACCCCGGGAGGGGAGUGCAAUAGAACCUGAAACCGUAUGUCUACAAACAGUCGGAGCACUUUAGAUGUGCGACGGCGUGCCUAUUGAAGAAUGAACCGGCGAGUUAAUUUAUGCUGCGAGGUUAAGCGGGAGACGCGGAGCCGAAGCGAAAGCGAGUCUUAAGAGGGCGGCAGUAGCAUGGAUUAGACCCGAAACCACAGUGAUCUAUGCAUGUCCAGGUUGAAGCUCAGGUAAAAAUGAGUGGAGGACCGAACCCGUGCGUGUUGAAAAACGUUGGGAUGAGGUGUGCAUAGGGGUGAAAUGCCAAUCGAACGUGGAGAUAGCUGGUUCUCCCCGAAAUAGCUUUAGGGCUAGCCUCAGGCGAAUAACCAUAGAGACGGUAGAGCACUGAUCGGGCAAGGGGGCGUAAAGCCUACCGACCCCAGUCAAACUACGAAUGGCUCAUAUGGGCAGCCUGGGAGUCAGAAUGCGAGUGAUAAGACCCGUAUUCAAGAGGGAAACAGCCCAGACCGCCGGCUAAGGUCCCAAAUGCUGUGCUAAGUGGAGAAGGAUGUAGGACUUCGAAAACAACCAGGAUGUUGGCUCAGAAGCAGCCACCAUUAAAAGAGUGCGUAAUAGCUCACUGGUCGAGAGGCCUUGUGCCGAAAAUAUCCGGGGCUCAAGCACAGAACCGAAGCCGCGGCAGGGUGUACUACGGUACACACUGGGUAGGGGAGCGUUCUUAUCUGGACGAAGGCAGACCGGAAGGACUGCUGGACGGGUAAGAAGUGAGAAUGCCGGUAUGAGUAGCGAAACGACAGGUGAGAAUCCUGUCCACCGAAAGCCUAAGGAAUCCCGGGCAACGCUCGUCGUCCCGGGGUAAGUCGGGACCUAAGCCGAGGCGAAAAGCAUAGGCGAUGGACAACUGGCGAAAAUUCCAGUACCGGGCGACUUCGUUUGAGGAUGGAGUGACGCAGGAAGGAAGCUGAGCGCGCGACUGGAAGAGCGCGUCGAAGGCGGUAGGCUGGUAUGGAGGCAAAUCCCCAUACCGUAAAGGCCGAGAACCGAUAGAUAGGAAGGGCUACGGCCCGACUGAAUUCAGCCGCACUAAACUGCCAAGAAAAGCUUCUAACGAGAAGUCGUCCGCCCGUACCAAAACCGACACAGGUAGGCGGGGAGAGAAUCCUAAGGUGCGCGGGAAAACCCUCGUUAAGGAACUCGGCAAAAUGCAUCCGUAACUUCGGGAAAAGGAUGGCCGUCUAGGGUGAAGACAUAUACUGUUGGAGCUUUGGGCGGCGGCAGAAAAGAGGCCGGCGGCCGUAACUAUAACGGUCCUAAGGUAGCGAAAUUCCUUGUCGGGUAAGUUCCGACCCGCACGAAAGGCGUAACGAUUUGGGCACUGUCUCAACGAGGGACCCGGUGAAAUUGAAAUACCUGUGAAGAUGCAGGUUACCCGCGACUGGACAGAAAGACCCCAUGGAGCUUUACUGCAGCUUGGCAUUGGUCUUUGGCAUAUAACGUACAGGAUAGCCGGGAGACUGGGAAACCUUAUCGCUAGAUGAGGCGGAGUCACCGUUGGGAUACCGGCCUUUAUAUGCUAAGGAUCUAACCGGAACGUUAACAGCGUUCGGGACAGUACCAGGCGGGCAGUUUGACUGGGGCGGUCGCCUCCGAAAGAGCAACGGAGGCGUCCAAAGGUUCCCUCAGCGCGGACAGAAAUCGCGCGAAGAGCAUAAAGGCAGAAGGGAGCUUGACUGCGAGACUGACGGGUCGAGCAGGUACGAAAGUAGGGCUUAGUGAUCCGGUGGAAAGAGAGUGGAAUUGCCAUCGCUCAACGGAUAAAAGCUACCCUGGGGAUAACAGGCUAAUCUCUCCCAAGAGUCCAUAUCGACGGGGAGGUUUGGCACCUCGAUGUCGGCUCA